rnacentral:rRNA from 1 species
CCUACGGGAGGCAGCAGUGGGGAAUAUUGGGCAAUGGGCGCAAGCCUGACCCAGCAACGCCGCGUGAAGGAAGAAGGCUUUCGGGUUGUAAACUUCUUUUCUCAGGGACGAAGCAAGUGACGGUACCUGAGGAAUAAGCCACGGCUAACUACGUGCCAGCAGCCGCGGUAAUACGUAGGUGGCAAGCGUUAUCCGGAUUUACUGGGUGUAAAGGGCGUGUAGGCGGGAAAGCAAGUCAGAUGUGAAAACCAUGGGCUCAACCUGUGGCCUGCAUUUGAAACUGGUUUUCUUGAGUACUGGAGAGGCAGACGGAAUUCCUAGUGUAGCGGUGAAAUGCGUAGAGAUUAGGAGGAACACCAGUGGCGAAGGCGGUCUGCUGGACAGCAACUGACGCUGAGGCGCGAAAGCGUGGGGAGCAAACAGGAUUAGAUACCCCUGUAGUC